CCACCCAAGCUGCCCCCAAAUUGGCCUCGAAUUGCCCCCAAAUCCCUCACAUUUCCCCCAAAUUGCCCCAAAUCCCCCCAAAUUGUCCCCAAAUGCCCUAAAUCCUCCGAAUCUCCCAAAUCCAUUAAAGCGCCCCAAAUCCUCCAAAAUGCCCCAAAUCCCCCCAAAUUCCCCCCAAAUUCCCAAUUAUUCCAACCCCCUCCCAGACUCCCCCAUAUCCCCCCAAAGCGCCCCAAAUUCCCCCCGAUUUGCCCCAAACCGGCCCCGAAUCGCCCCCCCCAGCCCCCUCCUGCCCACCCCAAAGCACCGCAGACCCAAAAUCGCGGGAUUUCACCCCAAAACGGACCCUGAGGAGGAAGGAGUGGUCCCGUCCCGGCUCCGUGGUGCUGGGUGAGGCCGCCAGCGCUGAGCACGGCACCGACAGCUGCGGCCGCAGCGCCUGCGGGGCCAGAAAUUGGGGUGAGAAACGCCAAAAUCGGGAAAAGGAGGGGAAAACGGGGAGGAAAUGGGGAAAUUGGGAAGGAAAUGGGGGGAAAUGAGGGGGGGAAAUGGGGAGGAAAUGGGGAAAUUGGGAAAGAAAUGGGGGGGGGAAAUGGGGAAAUUGGGAAAGAAAUGGGGGGAAAUGGGGAAAUUGGGAAAGAAAUGGGGGGAAAUGGGGGGAUAUGGGGAAAUUGGGAAACGAAUAGGGAGAAAUGGGGGGAAAUGGGACUGACAAUGGGACAAGAAAUGGGGUGGAAAUGGGGCAAGAAAUGGGGCAGGAAAUGGGAUGGAAAUGGAGCAAAAAAUGGGGCAGGAAAUGGGAUGGAAAUGGGUCUGAAAAUGGGACCUGAAACAGACUGGAAAUGGGGCAGGAAAUGGGGCAGGAAAUGGGAUGGAAAUAGGGCAGGAAACAGGCCAAGAAAUGGGAUGGAAAUGAGCCAGGAAAUGGGGCUGGAAAUGGGGCAGGAAAUGGGAAGGAAAUGGGGUGGGAAAUGGGGCAGGAAACAGGCCAGGAAAUUGGAUGGAAAUAGGCCAGGAAAUGGGAUGGAAAUAGGGCAGGAAAUGGGAAGGAAAUGGACCAGGAAAUGGGAUAGAAAUGGGCCAGAAAAUGGGCCAGGAAAUGGGGCAGGAAAUGGGAUGAAAAUGGGCCAGGAAAUGGGAUGGAAAUGGGGCAGGAAACAGGCCAGGAAGUGGAAUGGAAAUGGGGCAGGAAAUGGGGUGGAAAUGGGGCAGGAAAUGGGACAGGAAAUGGGCUGGAAACGGGGCAGGAAAUGGGAUGGAAAUGGGGCAGGAAACAGGCCAGGAAGUGGAAUGGAAAUGGGCAAGGAAAUGGGAUGGAAACGGGGCAGGAAACAGGCCAGGAAAUGGGAUGGAAAUGGGGCAGGAAACGGGAUGGA
rnacentral:lncRNA from 1 species